rnacentral:rRNA from 1 species
CCUACGGGCGGCAGCAGUGGGGAAUAUUGGACAAUGGGGGGAACCCUGAUCCAGCCAUGCCGCGUGUGUGAAGAAUGCCCUCGGGUUGUAAAGCACUUUCAGUGAGGAAGAACGCCUGGUGGUUAAUACCCAUCAGGAAAGACAUCACUCACAGAAGAAGCACCGGCUAACUCCGUGCCAGCAGCCGCGGUAAUACGGAGGGUGCGAGCGUUAAUCGGAAUUACUGGGCGUAAAGCGCGCGUAGGUGGCUUGAUAAGCCGGUUGUGAAAGCCCCGGGCUCAACCUGGGAACGGCAUCCGGAACUGUCAAGCUAGAGUGCAGGAGAGGAAGGUAGAAUUCCCGGUGUAGCGGUGAAAUGCGUAGAGAUCGGGAGGAAUACCAGUGGCGAAGGCGGCCUUCUGGACUGACACUGACACUGAGGUGCGAAAGCGUGGGUAGCAAACAGGAUUAGAUACCCCAGUAGUC